GCGGGGCGAAGCCUUGCGCCGUCCCUCGCCCUCCGCCCCGGCUCGGACCUCUCCCGUUGUCCGCCGCCCUGCCCUGGGCGUGGAGCCCGUCCUGGAGAAGAGUGUGAGGAGGGCACGGGGCAGCCCCUCUCCUGGUCUGCUUUCCCGGGCAGCCUCUCCUCUGGAGCACGUCCAGAGAAGGGCACCGAAGCUGGUGACGGGUGUGGAGAACAAGUCUUGGAAGAGCCGCUGAGGGAACUGGAGUUGUUCAGCCCAGGGCAAAGGGGGCUGAGGGGAGCCCUUCUUGCACUUCACAGCUCCUUGAAAGGAGGUGGCAGAAAAGUGAGCGUUGAUCUCUUCUCCCACGUAACAAGUGACAGGAGAAGAAGAAACAGCCUCAAGUUGCGCCAGAGGUUUUAGGUGGAUGCUAGGAACAGUUUCUUUACUGAAAGAGUGGUCAGGCACUGGGGCAGGCCGCAAAGGGCAGCACUCUGGAGGUGUUAAAAAACCAUGUGUAAACAUGUCCCUUUGGCACAGAGUUUGGGGGUGACCUGGCACCAUUGGGUUAACAAUUGGACUGAAAUUAAAAGUCUUUUCCAAACAGAGCGAUUCUAUGAGUCUGUGACCAGCAGCUGGUGUCCACCCACUCCUGAGGCACUCCCUGUGUGGGUUUAUGUGCUUUGGCUUUGGGAUUUUUUUUAAGGGAAAAACAGACUGUGGGAGUUGCAGAGGCUGAAGCAGGACCCUCUCAGCUACAGCAGGUUGUCUGGAUGGCCCCAUCAUCACAACCAGCUUGCCUAGAGCUUCCUGAGCACAGGCACCAGGCUGGCACUGAGAUCUCAGCGGCAUGUGUUUGCUCCUGGUUGGAAAAGCAGAGCAAGGUUGCCCUCUUUCUUCCGAAGGCGUUAGAGACGCUGCGCUCCCGCUGCCGUGCUGGAAUUGUGCACAUCUUUUCCCCAUCACAGCCCCCAUCGUCUCCAGCUACCAGGAACCUCUCACAAGCCUUGGUAUUAUUUUCCCUGCCUACUGCACCUGCUAAGAAAAAACCUUUUCUACACAC